GCCCCUGUAGUCUAAUGGUUAGGACGUCAGACUUCUACGGCAUGUGAAUCUGGCGGUUGUGGGUUCGAGUCCCACCAGGGGCU